rnacentral:lncRNA from 1 species
UGCUGGGUGUUUCCUGAUUUUGUGAUUUCUGGAACAUGUCUACCACGUGGCAGUCAGCUUUGACCACUGCAAGAUCAGGACUGUGAGCUGCAGCUGCCCCCGCUGGAACCUCCUCUACUGCCCACACUCAGUGGCCCUGACCUGUACCACCUCUGCCGAGCCUGCCAGGUGGAGCCGCAGCUGCCCAUCUCCAAGACACUGACCAGAUGGACCGAGACCAGCUGCAGAAGCUGGGGCAGGACCUCAUCAGUGCCUGGCUGAGGAGGUGCUGCUGGACUCGCAGACCAGCCAGCGGCACGGCUGCCCGUCCUAGAGACCGAAUUUCCAGCUGGAGAUUCUCGCCCCAGCACUCUGGACUCUGUCACCAGCCACCGCUCAUCCCACUGCUUCAUCCCGAGCUACCUGGAGAUGCGAUAGGGCGAACUGGUGUCCACGCUGCUGACGGCCGCCAAGGGUGAGGAAAGCACCUCCCCGUCCCCUCUCUUCCCUGCCUUCCGCUAUGCUCCCUGCCCCUCUCCCUGCUGCCCAGAGACCCAACCGUGCCCUCCUCCACAGGGACCCCAAGUGGCUGCACGCUGUCCUGGCUUCCAUCCAGCAGAACAUCCACUCCCCAGCUCUGCUCUUCAGGCUGGCGAAAAACGUCAGCAAGACAGCCACCCCGGCCAGGUCGCCUCCGGACGUCACGCUGCUGGGCAUAGCGCUGGAGCCGGGCCUGCAGAUGCGAGGCCAGGGCGGCGCCUCGCG